AGCUGAAGUGGAGAAGAGACUGCAGUCGUGGGAGCCUGGGCCAUGAACAACCUGUGGGAAGCUGUGCAAAGUGAUCAUGCAGAGAAGGUGAGUGGUGUUAUCCUAGGACAUGCACCCAUAAGAGGAAGGAUAAAUCACCCUCUGGAGUGUCUGUCUCUCAGCAUUAACAACAGGGAAAGACAAGAUGACUGGUUUGGAUGGGAUGCCUGUUUUUUAUACAGCCAGAGAGAAGAAACCCAAACUGUCAUUCUGACCAUCAAAAAAAAAAAAAAAAAAAAAAAGUCAGUAUAUUUCCAUUCCCUGAAACAUCCUCAAAUGAACAGUACACCUUCAGGACAGGGCAAAUGAGUGACUACUAAAUCAAUGGACUCCCAUGGUCCUCAUUUUACAUCACACUUUCUAUUCAUCUUAAGCAAAAGCUCACUGGCUGAAGUAUAUGUAGUAAGCAGAUCUGCUUCCUUCAAUAAGGUGGGGAAGGAAUCUGACUCAUGCUUGAAGAAGAGCUUUGUAAUAGCUCCAAAAUCCUUUUGAAAUUUAAGAACUGAUCAUCUGUUUCCAACAGAAUUACUUUACAUGAAGAAAAUUUUUAGUUGAAUAUAAAAGCUCUACUCCUUCAAAAUCGAAGGUACAUCAUUAUGAAUGAAAAAAGCUCUCAGGGUACUCCCUGUCAAAUUCAGGCUUACAUCCGAUGGCCAGUCUGUUUUUUUCCAUGCUGGUCACAGAUAUACAAGCCAACAGCAGAUGCUGUGAGAACAUCCACUUGCCUUCCUGUCUCUGCGUAUGACUUCUCUCCCCCUGCUCUGGUCACUCGACUGCCCCGGCCCCCGCCGAGGGUCCCUGUGCGGUGCGUGCGGCAGCGAGGCCUCCAGCCCUGAGCUGCAGGAGUUCUGGACCCUGCGCAGCCUGCAGAGCACUUCUAGUAGCUACGUGAGAUUAGUGACCUGCCAGCCUCCUUCGUUGCCAGCACAGAUCAUCAGCAAUGAGAGAAGUCAUUUCAAUGAGACAAGGAUAACACAUCUGAACCACGGUGAUGACCGAGAACAAGGUAUUCUACAUGCAUGUGUACAAUCUCCAAAACCAGAAAAUGAGAAGAAGACACAUUGUGAAAUCAAAAGCAUUUAAAAUAGAAAAUUCAUCAAGGGAAAUUCCUUCUACAUAAAAGAAAGGCUUUCGCAGUUGGACGUCACUCCCACAAGCUGAGUGGAAGCAAAAAGCUCUUCUGCGUAAGUAGGAUUUCUACAAAGUUUGAACUUCCAUGAGUGAUGAGUGCUUUCACACCCAUAUACAAAGGAAGCUGUGAAUAUUCUCAUUCUGUACAAAGGCCCAUGCUACUGUACCAAAGCUGCUGCUAUCUGAUGUAUGCAUUUCCCUUACGAGGACGUUGCCUGCUGGGUUGGAUUUUGGAUAGGUAGAUGUACUGUGUGUCUAGAGUACACUUCAUUCUGUGUUACUAAUAAAUAACCACAAAAACAUUCCAAGAGGCAAAUCAUUUCUAUUCAGAAAAUCAUUUUCCUAGGUAGAAUAACAAAAUCUAGUAAAUCAGAUGACAUGUAGAGACACGUGACAUGAAAGUGAUCUGAAAAUGAGAAGAAAGGUAGAAAAAUGGCCAAGGGAUCUGUCCUCCUUCUGGGCUGCAGUUAACUAAAGACCCUCACUGGCAACUUGGCCUUGGCCAGUAACCCUUUCCAAGCGUCUGUAUUUUCCUUACUGGCCUGAAUGAAAUCUUGAACAAGAAUAAAAUCUCUCACAGCUGAAGGGGAAAUCCUACCACUUCAGGUUAGUAAAACAUUUUGGGUUAAGUUUUCAAAAGACUGUUGAUGGGAAUACGAAAACAAGAAGCAAUUGAUUACAUCCCAGUUUACACUGUUUUAAAAAAGGCAGGACAGACUGCAAAACCUGCUUUAUGAGAGUUGCUCAGGCUGACUCCCUUCCCUGCCUCUGAAGAUUCCCCCAAUGCCCAAGUACUUUCCUCCCCAGUUGCCGAGGUGUCCGUCUAUGCUGUCUAUUUGUUCUAGCAAAUGCAAAAUUGAAUAUACAUAAUUAAGAUCAGGUUUUGGAUAUGGCGCUUUGGUUAGCUGCAAAUAAAUUCAAAUCAAUUUGUCAACAUGUAAAACAAUACAAAGUGUUGCCAUAUUUGUGUCCAGUACAUAACAUACACUAUUGCUCUAUCCAUAGGAGCACUGAAAAAAAAAAAAAAAAAAAAAAAAAGCAGAAUAUUCUGAAGCACAUGCAGAAUAAAGUCAUUUAUCAUAAGCAGGUAAAGCUGUUCUCAAACAUAUGUGCUGCAUAAACAAAACAUUUAUUGUACUCACAAACUCACAAACUGUCUGUAUACUCUAAAUGUAAAAAUGACUGUGCUCCUGAUUAUUUCCCCUGAGUGCAUAUAAAAUAGUGCCAAAGGGCAGAAUAUUACCAGACUAGCUCAACCACACCUCAGGCUUCCUGCAGGCUCACUGAGACAAUGAUCUCCAUACAUUUAUUUGUCUUUGUUGCCCUUUCUCUCACCCUUGGUGAUUACUUCACACAGGGCCCCUAUGUGGGAACAAGAUGGCAGGAAGAUGAGGAGUAUAAGAGCUGGAAAGCAACUACAGUUUGGGAUGGAUGUUGUCCUUCUGAAGUAAGAUGGAGUCACCCAAACAUGUGGACAGUGGUCAAACAGCAGUGAGGGUAGAGACACUGGGAGGCCAAGAGAAGGAAAGAAAAGAGUAGUUUGAGAAGGUCCUUGUUUAAGUUUUGCCACCAACCUAUAGACAAGGACACUUUGGCUGCACUUGUUGUUUUAUUUACCUAGGGUCAGCUGAGUAAUUUUUGUCAUGCUUCUGUUUGCACCUCCAAGAGCCUUCUGAGGGGCGAAUGUGUUCAUUUCACAUGUACUACGCUCUGUUGGGUGGUGCAGCUACAGCUGUUGUCCAAAGCAACUAAUCCAGGACACCCUUAGCAAGUUCCAUGACUGUAGUAGAACUUGUCACAUAUUGCCAAAAUCUCUCUCCUCACUUGGGACUGUAAACACUUAGUUUCUUUAGAGUGGUGGUUAGUAACUCAUUCUCGUUUACACAUUUGUAAGAAAAUUUGACAGUGGAGGAAAAAGCAAAAAACACCACCACCAUAAUUGGAGAGUUUAGGUCUUAGCACUAGCUAGAGAAAAAGUAUGUAGUAGGGUAUUAAACAAAGGCGAUGAUGCAGAGGAAACGUGAAACAACCAGCCCUAAAGAUGUAAAAGAUGACCUUCGGGUAGCAGGAAAAGGUCAUCUCCUAAAAUCUAACAUUCUGUCAUUUAGCAAUGCUUCUAUUUGUGCAUACUGAAUUACUUUUAAGUCUAGAUGAAUGUAAAGUCUUUGCAAGGUGUACAGUCAGACCAGUGAUUUCUGAGGAGCAAGCUGUACUAAAAGUUUAUUCUUUUUGUUUGCUGACCUAUUAAGGAUGUUUUUUGAGCAUGGACAGAAACUUGUGUCAUUCACAAAAAGUAGUCAUGGUGUAUGUCUGAGUCAGGGCUGAAUGUGAUUUAUAGAAAAGGUGGUGUUUUAAGCUACACCCUGUUGUUACUAAAAAGCACAAUUGCAUAUAAAUUUUAAAGUAAUAGGGGAACUUUGAUGCUUUAUGGCACAAAUAGUUCUUUACAGGCAAAAUU